CCAGGUUUGUUUUUCUCCGGUACAGCCUGGUAGGGAGGGCUCCCGGCAUCUCCCUGCUUCGGGGCAGAGGAUGCCGGGGGUAGAGUACGGGAGGGCUGGAGCGAGGGUGGACUGGAGGUGCCGCUUGUCCUGGAGGUGGGAGAGAGGGAGCGGCUUUGCCGCCUGGCCUGCGUCCUAAUCCUGUCCUGGUUCUUCUGCUCCCGAAGGGAACAUGUGGCGGCAGAGGAGGGCAAGGCCGAAGGAGCAGACAGCACCGCUUCUUGGGGAGUUGUGAAGGCAUCAUGCGGAGGGCCGAGCUUAGCAGCCAAGUGGAGGACAGCACCCUCCAUGCCUGGAUUCGUUACUCGCUCGUUCUCGAUGUUGAGCUGCUGGCAUAUUGCAGCACAACUAGAGAUGUACGGAUGCCCCCAUCUUGAUCUUACAGAAUCAGAGGUGCAGCCGCAAGAAAGGUCUCUACACCCUCUCGGUUUUCUCUGCUCUGCCAACACUAGUGGAAUAUGAUCACAUCCCAGGGAUCAGUGUCAUUUAGGGAUGUGACUAUGGGCUUCACUCAAGAGGAGUGGCAUCAUCUGGACCCUGCUCAGAGGACCCUGUAGAGGAAUGUGAUGCUGGAGAACUACAGCCACCUUGUCUCAGUAGGGUAUUGCAUCAUUCACAGGGUAUUGCAUUCCUAAACCAGAAGUGAUCCUCAAAUUGGAGACAGGCAAGGAGCCAUGG
rnacentral:lncRNA from 1 species